UACGAAGGGGGCUAGCGUUGUUCGGAAUUACUGGGCGUAAAGCGUGCGCAGGCGGCGUCUCAAGUCAGGGGUGAAAGCCCAGAGCUCAACUCUGGAAUUGCCUUUGAGACUGAGUGGCUUGAGUACGAGAGAGGUGAGUGGAAUUCACAGUGUAGAGGUGAAAUUCGUAGAUAUUGGGAAGAACACCGGUGGCGAAGGCGGCUCACUGGCCCGUAACUGACGCUGAUGCACGAAAGCGUGGGGAGCAAACAGG
rnacentral:rRNA from 1 species